AUGGUGAGGGAGCACUGCAUCUGGGGUCUGCAGGAUGAGAUCCAGAUCUUCACUGACUUGCUGGGUGACACCAGGUUCCUUCGCUCCCCCUGCUUUUUGUCAGCAGAUAUAGCACCCAGAACCCCUUCUCUCCAAUGUGGAGAUCCACACAAGGCUGCAAGCAUGGCCAAGACUGGGAUCGCAAAUGAGCCCCGUGUAGAUGGUUCUCCUCUCAAGUACUUCUCUCCUCGCCAGAUUCUAUUUGUGCCCUGAAGCUUGGGCACAACCCCCAGGAGGGUGUCUGUGAAAGACAAAGACUCCAGGUGUCAGGGAUAGAAGAGUCUCAGGGUCGCCUGAUCCCCAUCCCUAUUUUAUGCAGGAGGAAACCAACCCAGAAGGCCACAGAGGCAAAGUCCUAUGGUAAAGCAAGGACUUGAACCUGAGUCCCUGGUGUUCUCCUCCUUGAUUGGCCACAGGAAGCACAGAUAACCAUGCAGAGGAGCCCAGGUGGGUGAUGUCUCCAAGAGGGAUUUUUUUCCAGGAUGAAAAAGCAGCACAAACUGGAGAUCCUUUCGUGGCUCAGCAGAAACGAAUCUGACUAGGAACCAUGAGGUUGUGGGUUCAAUCCCUGGCCUCACUCAGUGGGUUAAGGAUCUGGUGUUGCGUGACCUGCGAUGUAAGUUGCAGAUGCAGCUUGGAUCCUGAAUUACUUGUGGCUGUAGUGUAGGCCAGCAGCUAGAGCUCCAAUUCGACCCCUAGCCUGGGAACUUCCAUAUGCCGCAGGUGCGGCCCUAAAACAGACAAAACAAAACAAAACAAAAAAGAAAGAAGAAAGAAAAAGAAAAAAAAGAGAGAAAAUAGCACAAACUCUGUGUGAUCUUUGUCAAAUCCAUCCCUCUCUCUGGGUAUCAAAGUCGCAACUCUAAAGCACAGGGAUCAGAAAAAAGGGGGGAGGGAUUAACACAUUUUAUGAGGUGGUAUAUUCUUUUUUUUUUUUUUAAGGGCCACAAAUGCAGCAUGUGGACUUUCCCAGGCUAGGAGUUGCAUCAGAGCUACAGCUGCUGGCCUACACCACAGCUCACGGCAAUGCCGGAUCCUUAACACACUGAACAAGGCCAGGGAUCGAACCCGCAACCUCAUGGUUCCUAGUUGGGUUCGUUAACCACCGAGCCACAAGUGGAACUCCUGAGGUGGUAUAUUCUUACUUUCAAAGUUGGAAAAAUAAACAAGAAAAGAAAAUUACA
rnacentral:lncRNA from 1 species